AUUAUAUUCCAAAACCACCGCAGCUGGCUGAGGGUUUCCUUGUGGGUCGGGCAUAGCUAAUACCUGGAAAUGUCACAGAUGAGUUGUUUUGUUGGGCUCAGCACAUCUCUUGUGGUGUUGUGGAGGUCGCGGCUAAAGUUGUGUUUUGGCCCGCGGCAGCUGACAGCACGCACAAACUCUCGCCUCUAAACCAGCAAUACCAGCACCUAGCACUGGUCGCAAGGUCCAUCACUGGUCAGCGGAGUCAUUUUCGCUACAAAAACAGCUCCAUCGACCACUUAGCACACCUAAUGGUAUAAUUCAGAUAUGGGUCAGGGUCAAUGUAAAUACUGUAUACAUAAAAACACUCACUGUAAAUCUCACUACAGCGAAAACAAGACAUGGCGCAAGCAUAGAACUUGGUGUAUACAACUUGGAAUGUGAUGUAAAUAUAGUAAAUUAGGUGUACAAAACGUGAAACAUGACGUAAAUAUGUACAUUAGACCCUUCAAACACGAAAGACGAUGUAAGGAUGAACAUUAGAGAAGUAUAGAAGGUGUAAAUAUGGACAUUCAAAAUAACGGACAUUAGGUGUGUACAAUAUCUCUGUCGGGCCAAUUCGAAAUUAUUCGUGCACUCACUGUAGUCACUUUAAAGCGCAUACAUUCCUUGAAGUCACAAUGUUCACUGUACACCACUAUUGCUCCAUUAGUCAUUUCAAACUCCUCUGAAUUGCUAGAGGACUCUGCAUCAUUUGCACAAUUGUCAAAAAAGAACAAAAUUCUAAAAAAAAUAAAAAGACCUUUUAUUGCUCAGUGACUCUUCAUACUGUGUUUUUAUGUCUCACACGAACGUAUCUGUCUGUUGUCGUACUAGAGCGGCUCCAACUACAAAUUCCUGAAGAUGAUUCCGAUUCUGGUGUCCGACAAUGUAAAUCUAUACAACAGGUGUUUAGAACAGGCCCUCCUGCUUUAAACUGUAUGCAAUGUUUAAUAUUUGCAUUUUUGUCCUUAUUGUGUACUUCCAUGACUUUAACACAGAUCUUUACAUGCCCUUUGGCUAUGUAUACGUUUCAAGUGUACAGUUAAUGUAAACACUUGAAAUGUAGACAAUUGUGCACUUCAGACCUGCAAUGUAAAUCCAGCCUUAAAGUCGCUGCCGUGUACUGUACAAGACAAGACUUGAUUGUCCACAUAACACACACACGCACACUUGCAUCGGCCCUAAAUUCUCAACUGGAAACGUUUCUCUUUCUGUUGCUAAUUUACACUCACAAGGCGACCUGCUUGGCUGCUGCUCUGGGCGUCGCGCAAACUGCUGAUGCGCUGAGAUUUUCUGGCACGACGCUCGUGUACCACAGCGUGGGUGUGCGCGUGUACGUGAAAUAAAUGGUGGGCUACUAAAUGAACGGCCCUUUCUCAGAGACAUUCAUCUUGCCGUGACAUUGAGGAGAGGGAGCGAGAGAGAGACGGGCCAGUCUAAAAUAUUUAUUUCGCACAUCAAUCAGGGUUGUGGGGUGAGUGGAAAAAAAGUGCAUGUGUGUGCAGUGUGUACAAAAAGAACAGCAGGUAGAGCUGAAGGCCACUUUUAGUGGCGUGGCUCGAAUUGUUGCGCCUGUGUGCGUGUCUGCAGUGGCACUCCGACCGGCUUUAACAUUUGGGCUGGGGUGUGCCUGCCAAGUGACGUCGUCCUCGGGCUAUGCUGCGGUUCCGAUAGAUACACACACACGCGCGCUUGUGGCAACGUGACAUAGGAGAAAUGUUUCUGCGAUCCAUGUGAAAUCUGAGCUACUGUUGACCUCAGAUGAGGACUAGAACUCAGCUUUGUCCCCACCGUGCGUGUACAUGACGAUGAUUUGGCACGACAUCGUGUGCGUCAACGACGGCGAUGUGUCAUUAUUAGUGGCGAGUCGAAGGCCUACGAGAAGACCGAAAUUCUCAGAUUUGUUCCACCAAAUUGUAUUCUCUUUAUUUGGUAGCAUUUCUCUUAGCUGCACUGCUUCCAAUAUGCGCAUGAGUUCAAUGUUUUUUUUGUCUAAUCAGAUUUCAGCCUCUAAGCGUUGGCAAGUCAAUCUAAUCUGCCCACAGCCUUCACAAUCAUUCAUUCUGGCCAAUGUCACGUAAGUUAUAUUAGCAAUGAGACUGUUUCUUUAACCAAUCAGAUUUAAACUUUUCCUCACAGGGCCCAGUAGCUCACCCACAUUAAGGUCAACAUUUUUCCAUCCUCCGAUUGGUUGGUCAGAACAAGCCAAGUUCGACUAGCAAAAGACUUCAGUAGCGAUCUGCACACAUGAAUACAUUUUAACUCAAUUACUACCACCGAUGUAUAUGCAGGUAUUUGCCAACAGGAAGGAAGAGGGUCUCGCCUAGCUUGUCUGUGAAAUUCAUCUUUGUUUACCACUGUAACGACUAACAGAUCUCUGUAGAUGGCAGCAUUGCAUCGCUUUGGAUUAGAGCUAAGCACAGCUUUUGAGUUUACAUUUGUUUACAUUUUUGAUGUUUUGUCAUGUUAUUAGAUACAAAUUGUGAACUGCUUGAGAUGAUGUACUUGGCACCACGGUAUUGCCGAUUUCUACAAUCGCUGUACGUUUUUGCAAUGUGACGAGUCCUUCGUGUUCCACCUUAACUAGGAUACCGACCCACCCAAACGCCAGCACAGUCGCUAUACGCUAACACGAUUCACUCAUUCCAUUCAUUCAAAACACACACACGCACUCUCUGGUGCGCAACACUGCAGUCACGUGAACCACAACUAAACAGAGCCGAGGCCUCGUUGCCGUGACGCUACAUAUCUGUGGGCAGAAAGGGGUGUUGUCCUAAAUCAUUUCUAAUAGCUUUGUUCAUGAUGGCGUUCUCGAAUCUUCUUCUGAGAACCUGGCUGUCCUUUCCUCACGGCAAGUCGACAUCGUCACCCUAUCAUCGUUCCCUGCUCGCCAGCUUCACUGUCAGUUGCCUUACCAGGAUGAAUGAAGGUUAAAAGAUGCAAAGGUGCUCGACGGCUUAUUGAGUAGUGGAGCAAGUUUGGUGAGGAUACACCAAAGCGGUCGUGUGAUCUGGUUCCGACGGGACUGUGAUGCAGUCCAAAGCAGGAUGGAAAACCAGUUGGGACAUUUUUCUAAAUUAUCUUCUCACGUGAGUCACCUUCAGCGACGACAUGAAAAUAAAACACACAAACACACCCACACACAGACGGACACGCGCGCACGGUCGCGCGCACGCUCCUACACGUGGCUGGCGGUAGCGAGACGACUUGUUUUGGCGAGCGUCUGUAUCACUGAGCUCAAGCAAAACACACUCCGUUUAAGUUGGGCGCGGGCCAGCGAUGCUGCAUGCUUCUGGUCAGCUCUGCUAUUCAUAGAAGCCCACAAAUGUAGAACACGGCACGGGUGGGUGUGUGUCUGUGUGUGUGCAUGUGUCGCGGCAAGGAGCGAUCAUCAAUCUGAACAAAACGUCCCGCAAACAGAUCAGAGGCAGGCAUUCCUCAGGGUCCCUGAAUGCAUCACGAGGAAGCCGUGAAGGCAUACAAAAAGUCAUAGCUGUGGUUUUGGGAUGUCCUGUGGUGGGGAUCCAGUCCCUGAACUCGCACUGACCUGCAGUCUUGAAGGACAAAGGAAACGAAACAACACUGGACCAGCAGCAGGCAGGCUGGAAGAGACGGAGUUACAUAAAAAGUGGUGAGCUGAUCACGGGAGGUUUUCUUUUUGUGUGUGCGCGCGCUGAAAAGUCCCACGUGACCGGUGGGAACAAGUGCGGCGAUCAGGUGAGAGCCGACGCCUCAGAUAAUGCCUGUGCGGCAGUUUUGCGGCCGCAGCGGAAUAGCGAACAGAUGAGACAAGAGACGGAGUCAAGUUGAGGACACACAAGAGGAUUACGGAGCUGAUUUACAGCAGACGGCUUCUGGCGACCACAGGAGGCCUGAUUAGAGGUUUGGACGCAUCGCGUCGGUAGGCGGGAGCAUCUUGUAACGGCCGUGUUUUGACCUCCUCACCCCAGACGGAGCACGCAGCCCUUCGGAGGCGAUACCAAGUCAAAAACCUUCACCUUUAAAACCUGUAAGCGCGUCGAACUUUGACGUCCACGAGGAUCAUCGGUGUUGCCCAGGAUGGCAGUCUUCAUCGCGUCCGAGUCAGCUUCACUCACGCACGGCCUCAGGUUUGCGCAAGCGUCAAGACGGGAAUCCGUUUCACGCCCUCCUGGUGAGCUCACCUUGAAAAUCCCAAAAAAUUUUUGACGACAUCCUGUCCUGUAACGUUGCCGUUAAGGAAGUGUGUGUGUGUGUGUGUGUGUGCCUGUGCAGGGCAAUUAUGGCAAAUUAAAGUUGACCGUUGAGGGAAAAUAAAGUCAAAUUUUUCAUGUUGUUCAUUUUUUGAAGUGUAAUUAUCCACCCUUCGACCCUCUCUCUCUUUGUCUCUCUAUCCUGCCCUCAUAUUACCUGGCGAGAGGCUUUAUGCAGCGAGUGUGGCCAACGUUUGUGCAGGGAGCCAGUUAUUGCUUUCAUUCUCCAUCAAUGGAUUCUGCAUCUGUCUGCACUAAAGUCAUGGCUCGCUGCGCUGGAACACACACAGCCGUGCGCAUGCCAAGAUUUUGAAUUUUUGUCUGGAGGUGUUUGACCCGGCAAUGACAUAUGUGAUAGAGACAUAAUGGUGAGUGCGCGCACACACGCACACACACACACUUACAGUAUCUGUCCAGACACGGUAUUCCAGCCGUAAACGCAUCAUAAAGGCCUGUCCCGACUAAUGACUCGGCUAAAGAGGGAACCAGAUCGCCUGGCUCCGUCCGGCUUGUCCGCCUUUUUUCGAGAGACGUCACUUAAGUGUAGCUGACGCCUUUUUUUCCGGGGUUGGUCAGGCCACGUUCUGGACUUUUGAGGAAUGCUAUCGAAGAAGAAAGCCCAGGUGGUGUUACCGUUUGCUCCAUGCCAGGCUGAUCGCUGCUGCAGCCAAGCACAAUAAUAUUGUAGGACACAAGGAGACACAUGCGCUGAUAAACACUUUCACAUUACUGGAAUAGUUGGGGGGGGGGAUGGGGGGUGGGCUGGAGGACACUCGUGCGAGGGUCUUCCAGAGGGCAAGCUGUUUAGAUGAUGAUGCCUGGCGGGAAAAGGAAAAGAGAGAAGUAGUCUAGUUGUUCUCGCCGUCCGGCUCAAACUUGCCAAUUCGGAAUUUUUCAGAUCCCCUUUGACCAUCUAGAAAAACGUCCAUAAGCAGCCUGCAGUCCUUCAUGUCACGCGAAACGCCAUCAGCAGCCGAUUUAACCUUGGCAGACAUAUUGCCCUCAUACUGAUGCUAAAAUUGGGCCUCUUCCAAGAGACAACAGGUACAUGCAGGAUGACAUUUUGCAGCCGGAAUAGCUGCAAAAAUGAGAAAACAAGAAUCCAGAAUCUCCUUGAUUUUGCACACCAGCACAAACAACACGAUUCAUCAACAGCAAUCCAACCGUUUACGGCCACAGAUGUACAUAUACAUCAAGUUUUUCCAACGGGUAGGUGUGGAAGAGGGUCUCGCCCAGCUCGUCUGUGAAAUUCAGCUUUGUAAAACACUGUAAUGACUGACAGAUCCCUGCGGAUGGCGAUGUUGCAUCGCUUUGGAUUUGCGAUCAGCACAGCUUUUGAGUACAAGAUAAAGAUUAGGCGUCGAAUCUCGGCUUGCUACGGCAAAUAUGAGGGAAAGAAAUGCUAAAACGUUGGAAGUCGGACAAGUUUAGACACACUCCGAGAGAGUAUUUAUAUGUAUGUAUGGUACAAACAGAGUAUGUGUUGCGGCAGGUAGUGGAAAGUGUAUGUUGCGAUUGUGAGAAAAGAUGGAGUAAAUGACAAACGCCCUCUACUUAAAAAUUCACUGACGUUCAACUGGAGCCAUGCAGUGAGUCUGCCCGGCUCACGGCACGUUUCAUAGUUGUAUAUAAAUAAAUAAAUGAAUAUUUUGCCAUCGAAAGCCCGUUCUCAGUCUUGUUUUUGCUGUUUUAUCGUUUGAACUGUCACAAAUGCAAAAAAUAUUCGUGUCAAUAUUAAGUCACUGUUCUGCUUGAUGUUUCUUUUCAUAAAAAGCUCGUUUUCGCCAAUUUUUGGUCAGAAACCCAUGUUCAACUGCUGAUUACUAAAGAACGGAAAAAGAAAGAAACAAACCUUUAUUUCUGGUAGAAGAAGGUCUAAAUAUUGUAUUACACUAGUGGUUCCCAAAGAAGGGGGCGCAGGACGAAUGAAUUAAUGAAAACUAGGCUUUACACGAUCAAGAUUUUUGGGGCCGAUCACAGUUAAAAAAAAAAAAAAAAAAACGAUAACCGAUAACCGAGCCGAUAACAGGAUGGAGCAAUGUGUCUAUUCAAAUGACUUAUUCAUUUACUGUGUAUACUUGACAGAAAUAAUGGGUGCUAACUUACUGUAAUUAAAUCACUUUAUUGUAAUUAAAUUACUCCACACACAUGAAGCAUGAUUCAACAUAACGCCGGCAUAUUUACGUACAACCGUUAGUGCUAGCACUAGCUUGGCUACAAAAUUGCAUAUAGGCACUAAAAGAGAAUUGCAAUGUGAAUCCAAACCCCCAACGGAUUCCACUUUGCCGCUUUCUUUGCCACCAACUUUUCCUUCGCUUCCUCCUGACACCUUUUGACCCGAAACUCGACUCUGCCGCUCCUGCCCCGCUAACACUCAACUCACCUCGUUGCCUUUCAGCAACCCCAAAACUCUCACCCGGUCCAAGCAAACCUCCUCCCUCCCUCCCCCUGCCGCCAGCUGUAACCCGAAACGCACCUUUACACAUUGUUUUGCGCGCACACACACACGCCACUGCAAGUCUCCCAUAACUUCACACGGGGUGCUGAACUUGUGACCUGCCUUUCUCCGAGACCUGCACUAACCUCUAAAACACACACACACACAAACACACAAACCAACUUUCACUUCAUCCAAUGAAUGUGAGUGAAGUGGACAUUACGAAAAAACUUGAGUUGGCGACCACCUGAAGUUAUGGGAACUUUUGGUUGUGGGGUCCUUUUAGUGACCGGAAAACUAUCAAAAGUACCCUUUGCAUUUCCACCCCAAAUUAUGGGAACUUUUGGUUCUGGGUACUCUCGGUGCUGGGGAACUUUUUGUCUCAGAGUCAAAGGUUCCCUAAAUGUGGCAACAGAUACAAUUAAUACGAAGCCACUUUUCCAUCUAAAAUUCCUGCAACUUUAGCUUCUGGGUAUUGAAAUGACCCAUUGCAUAGGAGCUGCAUUUCUGCCAUGCACACUUUCCUGCCAUUCAAGGCAAACAACUCCUGUUUACAUGGAUGCUAAUGUUCUCAAUGCUAGCACCGUGGACACUUCCAAAUGUUUUUUUUUAUAGACCCAGUGACAGCGGGCUUAUACCACUGAGAAGAAGUUAUGCUGUGGUUUGAUUUGGGGAUACAUAGUCCUUGCAUUGUGGUCAAAUCAUUUCCACAAAAAUGUUUUAUAUAACUUUAUGGGUCCAUUUCUUAUAUUUAGAGCGCAAUGUCGGAUCUUAUUUUACCCACUGUCUGAAUAUGUGUGUGUGUGUGUCGCUACUAGGUCUGUACUAUUUAUUUAUUGCUCUCCAGGCUCCAACUGAAAAGCAAAUCUUCAACUUCAGCCUCAGCCUGACCCGGGCCCACAUGUGUGUGCGUGAGUGCGUGCACGAGUGUGUGCACGUGAACAUUACGCCAACAGUGUCAUCCUUACCUCUGCUCGACCUGCGGGGGUGUGUGUGUGUGUGUGAGAAGCGGAAUCGUUUUCACCUAUUAACCUUGUCAACUUUCAACUCCCCACAGGACUCACUUUCACAACUAUGUGUUGGCAUGUGUGAUUUUACGUAACAUCGGCGUUGUCGUUAACGCUCACCUAAUUCCAACCUUCCCACAUAAAAAAAAAAAAAAAAAAAAAAAAAAAAAAAAAAGUCUAAAACAUGCGCUUCAAAGCAGCUGCAGCCCACUUGCGGCGGCCAACGCUUGUGAGUACGCACAAAAACAAAAGGUGGCAUUAUACAGUACACCGUAACGUCUAAGAAAGUGAAAAAGAUGAAAGUGUCAGAACACAUUAAGCCGACACAAAAUUACACUUUUCUUUUUCCCUCAUAACGCUGUAUAUCCACAAUCGCGCCAGGUCUCACAACUGGCGACGUUAAUAAAUUGGCCGUAAAACUAUCAAUUCUGCUGAAUUCAGAGAACACAACGAGCGUUCUUUUACUUUGCAAACACCUGUGCUUGUUGCUGGCCCACACCCUGUGGCUCACAAGAAUAAAAACACGAUUUGGCGAGGUGAGGCGGCCUUUCAAAAUGCUGGCAUGUGCGCGUGUUUUACAAGCACAUGGACAUAAUUCAACCAGUAAAUAGAAGGAAUCACACUAUAAACAUGAAUGAGGAAUGUGCUUUAUAAUAUCUAGAAUGCAUGUUUGAUUUUUCACAUGGUGGAUCAAUGAUUUAUUAGCAUUAAUAUGACGUUUUCUCACAUUUUAAAUUUGGCCUUACACAGUAGGCACACGCACACACACGUACACACACACACAAACUCCCUCGGAUGGAAAUAAAAUCAAGUAGAAGAUUGAGGGCUUGUGGAUGCCAAGGGACACACAAACACACACACAAACAUGGAACUGACAAAAGAACACACGCACUAGUUGACUCCUGGUGAUUAACAGCUGACUUGUUUGUCCACAAAGCCAAAAGUCAUGCACGACUUCACCCCAACAAACCAAAAGCAGUCGAAAAAUGUAGAGGACAUCAAAACAACAUAACCACACAAACAUCUGCAAAUGUGUGUCAGAGAGAUGACACACACACACACACACACACACACGCUGCAUUGGCACCAACUCGCCAAAACAUCCCCAGUUACACAACAGUUCCAGGAAGACAUCAAAGGUUGUGACCUCUGGAGCGCACAGACAAUCUGUACGUGUGAGAUCAGAUAUGCUCUCCGAUGCUUUCUCUUUGGUUUUUCAUUGUCAGCUGCCAGACGAGGCGUCCAGCGCUCGCUCGAGUCGUUUUUCGACGCGCAAGGAGAGAUGAUGUCACCGGGUCAUCUCCAGGUGGCGUGGGAUUAUUGCUGUGUUUACUUCGGGUGCGCGCACAUACACAAACACACAUCACAUCUUAUGUUUUAGGCUGCAUAUGGAUAACGCUUGAAAACGGUACAUUUAAAAAGGAAACUAGAGCACCUUGCGCUGACCUUUUACCUUGGGCUUCAGGAGCUUUGCUGAAAAUUGAUUUGUCCAUGUGUGAAAAGGAUGUGAUUUGUACAGUCCUGUUUGUUUGCCUGGUGUGUGUGUGUGUGUCUGUCAGGUGUCAAGUUUACCCCUGGAUCGACCCAAGCUGGGAAUGAUCUCGUCUCUGCGGGGGAAGCCAAAAGUGAUGUUCUAUACGGUGUGUGUGUAUGUGUGCGUCUAACCCGAGGAUGACUCACAAACCAUCUGGAGGCCAGAUGCAGAUUUGAACUCCCCCCCUCCUUCCCCCCGCAUCCGCCCCCCCUUCAAGUUUCUGUGAGUCCCCUUAGUUAACCUGUGAACUUUGACCUGUGCUCCGCAUGCUUGGAUAACGACAGCGUGUGAGUUCUCGGCGUGCGCACGGCUUUCUGGUCAAGUUCACUUACAAGAAGUGAGGAUGCAGACUGUUCCGCAAUGACGGUUAUAGCUCGAUUAUUCGCCACUCAUGUUUUGGCAUUAACAACACGGACGGCUCACUAAAAUCAACAGGUGGUGUGGGGAAUCAAUUACGUCAUCGAUUGAUUGAAGUCAACUCAACUAUCGUCAUCUUAGUGUCAACUACAAAUAAAAUCUGAUGUGUUUUAUUGUUU